UGUAAGCGUAUACCAAAGUUGUUGCAGUUAAAACGCUCGUAGUCGGAAUUUGGCAGUUCCGGAUGUGUGCACGUCGUGUGCGCACUUCGCGGGGAUUGCUUUUGUGGUCUUGCGUAGGAUGAGGCACUUUUAUUAGUGAACGUCCUCACGCAACCACUUUUUACUGUGAGAAAAUCAGAGUGCUCAAAGCAGGCAUUUGCCGUGAAUGUAUUAGCAUGGAAUAAUAGAAUAGGACUUGGUUCUAUUUUGUUGGUUUGUUGGGACUGAGUAAUGAUUAAGAGGGACAGUUGGGGGCAUUUGUAUUUCGGUGCUAGAGGUGAAAUUCUUAGAGUACCGAAAGACAAACUGCUGCGAAAGCGUCUGCCAAGGAUGUUUUCAUUGA
rnacentral:rRNA from 1 species